rnacentral:rRNA from 1 species
UACGAAGGGGGCUAGCGUUGCUCGGAAUCACUGGGCGUAAAGGGUGCGUAGGCGGGUCUUUAAGUCAGGGGUGAAAUCCUGGAGCUCAACUCCAGAACUGCCUUUGAUACUGAAGAUCUUGAGUUCGGGAGAGGUGAGUGGAACUGCGAGUGUAGAGGUGAAAUUCGUAGAUAUUCGCAAGAACACCAGUGGCGAAGGCGGCUUCCUGGGCCGCGCCUGACGCUGAGACGCGAAAGCGUGGGGAGCGAACGGG